rnacentral:rRNA from 1 species
AUCAUGGCUCAGGAUGAACGCUAGCUACAGGCUUAACACAUGCGAAGUCGGCGGGCAGCAUGGUCUUAGCUUGCUAAGGACUGAGUGGCGACCGGCGCACGGGUGAGUACGCGUAUCCAACCUUCCCUUAGGUAGGACAUAGCCCGGCGAAAGUCGGAUUAAUACCCUAUGUUCUUCGUAGAUGGCAUCUGAGACGAAGCAAAGGUUAGCGCUAAGGGAUGGGGAUGCGUCUGAUUAGGCAGUCGGCGGGGUAACGGCCCACCGAGCCUUCGAUCAGUAGGGGUUCUGAGAGGAAGGUCCCCCACAUUGGAACUGAGACACGGUCCAAACUCCUACGGGAGGCAGCAGUGAGGAAUAUUGGUCAAUGGGCGAGAGCCUGAACCAGCCAAGUAGCGUGCAGGACGACGGCCCUACGGGUUGUAAACUGCUUUUAUGCGGGGAUAAAGUGCCCUACGUGUAGGGUAUUGCAGGUACCGCGUGAAUAAGGACCGGCUAAUUCCGUGCCAGCAGCAGC